AUGGCGGCAACCCAGCUCCGCGGAUCGGCGGUGCCGGGGACGGCGAGGAGGUGGCGGGCUCCCUCCGGCGCCAUCCUCCGCUUCGCGCCGCUCGCCACGUCCAGGCUCCCAGCAGCGUCUCUUCGUCGGAGGGGAGCCUUCAGUGGCCUUUCCGCCAGUGUCACCAGGGAGCUUAUCGCCUUGCAGUCAUUGACUACAAUGUGCAUGAAGUCAAAAUGUACUAGCACUCCCAUUGAUCAUGCCACUGCUCCUGAGCAUACAGAAGAUGAAGUUCCCGAGCCAACCGCUGUGGUGACUGCUAGUGAAGAGAUAAAUAUAGACCAGGAAGUUGCUCCGCCACAUAAGAGUGCUAUAAUACAUGAUUUCUGCCUAGGGAUCCCUUUUGGUGGAUUAUUAUUUUCCAUGGGCCUUGUUGGAUUUCUAUUUUGGAGGAGUCCUGUAAGUCUUACUUUUGGCGUUGCACCUGGUCUUGCUAUAUUGGGACUUGCCGUGCUUAGUCUUAAGGGUUGGAGGAGUGGAAAGUCCAGCUUGCCAUUUAUACUGGCACAAGCAGCUGUUGCUGCUGCUGUAGCAUGGAAGCACUGCCAGGCGUAUGCCACAACAAAGAAGCUGCUUCCCUGGGGCUUUUAUACUGCGCUCAGUGUCUUGAUGAUCUGCUUCUACUCGUACGUGUUGCUUGCCGGGGGGAAUCCACCACCAAAGAAGAAGCCAGCAGCUGCUAUAUAA
rnacentral:rRNA from 1 species